rnacentral:rRNA from 1 species
AGAAUCAACGCUGGCGGCGCGCCUAACACAUGCAAGUCGAACGAGAAAGUGGAGCAAUCCAUGAGUAAAGUGGCGUACGGGUGAGUAACACGUGGAUCAUCUGCCUUUUAGUGGGGAAUACCGCUGGGAAACCGGCGACAAUACCGCAUAAGCUCGAGAGAGGAAAGCCGAAAGGCGCUGAAAGAGGAGUCCGCGGUCGAUUAGCUGGUUGGUAGGGUAAUGGCCUACCAAGGCUGUGAUCGAUAGCCGGCCUGAGAGGGCACACGGCCACACUGGCACUGAAACACGGGCCAGACUCCUACGGGAGGCAGCAGUGGGGAAUCUUGCACAAUGGGGGAAACCCUGAUGCAGCGACGCCGCGUGAGCGAUGAAGCCCUUCGGGGUGUAAAGCUCUUUCGGCAGGGAAGAUUAUGACGGUACCUGCAGAAGCAGCUGCGGCUAACUACGUGCCAGCAGCCGCGGUAAUACGUAGGCAGCAAGCGUUGUUCGGAGUUACUGGGCGUAAAGGGUGCGUAGGCGGCUCUAUAAGUAUGGUGUGAAAUCUCCCGGCUUAACUGGGAGGGUGCGCUAUAGACUGUGGGGCUCGAGUGUGGGAGAGGAAAGUGGAAUUCCUGGUGUAGCGGUGAAAUGCGUAGAUAUCAGGAGGAACACCGGUGGUGUAAACGGCUUUCUGGACCAUAACUGACGCUGAGGCACGAAAGCGUGGGUAGCAAACAGGAUUAGAUACCCUGGUAGUCCACGCCCUAAACGAUGCAUAUUUGGUGUGGGUCAUUCAGUUGAUCCGUGCCGGAGCUAACGCGUUAAAUAUGCCGCCUGGGGAGUUCAGUCGCAAGGCUG